GUUUACAAGUUACCAUUACAUAACUUGGAAAAGGGUUGACUGGAUGACGUGAAACAGAGAGUGAGACGAUUGUGUCAGGUGAAAAGUAAUAAUGAUUACUUAUUUUCAUUGCUGAAUGGUCCUCUCUCUCAUAUUGGAGAACUCACUAGAGAGAGAGAGAGAAUAAAACAAAAAUACAUAUGCACAUUAAAAAUAUUUCAAGAUUACGUAAAUCACUUAGUGUUCGUCUUUAUUCAUCGUAACACAUAAGAUGGCUCCAAAAUGCCCUGCACCUGCCAAAGCUUCUGGCAAAAAGCCUAAGCGACACAAGAAGGUCAUGACCCUUCAGCAGAAGGUAGAACUUCUGGACAUGCUUAAGUCACAGAAAUGCUUCGCUGCAGUAGCGCGCCAUUAUUCAGUGAAUGAGAGUACAGUCAGGUACAUCCAGAAGAAAGAGGUGGAGAUAAGGAAGGCUGUAAAUAUGAGCUGCUUAGGUAGUGCCAAGAUGGUAUCAACUGUGCGUGAUAAGAACAUUGUAAGGAUGGAGUUGGCCUUGGCAGUGUGGAUAAAAGACUGCCGUAUGAAGAACUUGCCCAUCAGCCACACCAUCAUUUGCGAGAAGGCACGUCAACUAUACCAGCAGUUUUUGACUGGUGGUGACACUGAGGGCAAAGACGUACAGGAACCAGAUUUCUUAGGCUUCAACAAAGAGGAGGAGGAGGACGAGCUAGAGGCAGGAUCAUCGUCAGCUCCUCAAGGUUUUCACGCCAGCAAGGGAUGGCUCCACCGUUUCACAAAACGCUUCCAACUGAGGAAUGUUCCUCUGGAUGGUGAAGUGGCAUUGGCAGACACAGAGACCUUCAAGAAGAUCAUAAGCAAUAAUGGCUACCGUCCAGAACAGGAUUUGGCAGAGCUGACAAAGUCUGCCAGUGAGGAAGAAGACAUGGCAGGUUCAGGGAAGAAGGAAGAGGAUGAGGGCCUUUCUUUUGACAUUCUGUGCAAUAUUAUGAGGACGCUCAAGGAGGUGAAGGAGAAGUUAAUGGCACGGGAUCCUUAUAUGGAACGCGCCAUAAAGUUCAGUAAUGGCCUUGAUGGGUUAUUUAGGCCAUAUACAAACCUCCUAGCCAGCAUGAAGAAGCAGACACAACAGUUGCCCAUCACCAGUUAUUUCUCGGUGGUGAAGGAGGAACCCCCAAUGCCUCUCACAAACCCUGAAGUGCAAGUGGUGGACGAAGCGCCCCCUGAAGAAGGGAAGAGGCGCCCCCAGAGGUGAUACAACUCCUCUGCUUUGCUGUGCAGUCAUAUUUCCAUUGCAUUUCAUUGGACUGCACAGCUAAUUCAUCAUCAUCUUCAAUCAAUAUUGAUCACUGGAAAGGAGCAGCUUGGUGUAACUCUGUAGUCUUUGGUCUUCUGCAGGUAAACCCAAACAGUAUUCACCAGAGAGAGCAAGAGGACUUCUUCAUUACUGGUGAUAGAUAAACAGCAUAAAACAAAUGGCAGACUGCUGUGGAAUGGUUAUGGCCACUGGUUGUUGGGAGCAAACAAUGGACCCAGAUGAUGACUUACCUUCGUGUGUGAAUGUAACUGAAAAUGGCUUAUAUGGGAAGUUUUAUAAGACAAGGGUAAGAGAGAAAUUCCAAUCAGGAAGUUUUAGCAACUCCCAAGAAACAUUUUCAAUUUGCUUUAGAACUUGCUUGAGUUGAAUCCACUAAAUUGGAAACCUGCAACAGGUUAGAUUUAUAUCCCCUAAUGGCAGAGAUGAACAACUGCCACCACAGAAUGUGCACCAGUUGUCCUGUCUAGUAGAGGGGCUACUAGAUGAACUGUGACUGGAACUGUUAUGAACAUGGCAGGUUUAUGAAAAGUGAGACUGGCCAAGAUAGAUGAAUUUGAUGAUGCUCUUUAAGGCAUGUGCAUGGGGAAACUGUCUCUUCCGCUCUGGUAGAAGAGAAUCUGAGAACUAAGUGCAUGAUGGGAUUAUGAUGAAAGAAGAAAAUGUCCUGGUUCAUAAAUAUUAGUGCCAUAGAAUAAAAAAAAUACAGGAAUAUAGUGCCAGUACUGUUUAAGAAAAUAAAAACACCAAGAUAAACAGUGUAGGAUAAGAAAAUAAAGAAAAACGCCAAGAAAAGAGUGUAGGAGUACAUAAAUGGAAAUACAGUUUAACCAACACAAACACACAUAAAGCAGAUGUAUAUUUUUUAGAAAAGUGAAAUCUUGACACUUAUUUGAAUUAACAAUCUUACAAUUGCAGGAAAGAGAUGAUAACAUCUGGUAAUGAGCAGUGACAUAAUGGCCCCCCAAAAAUAAUGCGGACCCUUUUCUGGAAAGCAAUUAAGGCAGGCCAAUUCUGAAGGCCCAGACAGUAAGUUGAUAACAUAAGUUCCAUGUUCAAACAACUCAUGGAGCAAUUGGCAUAUGCUAAUUCUGAAGACACAGACAGUAAAGUUGAUAACAUACUGGUAAGUUCCAUGUUCAAACAACUUAUGGAGGCUAACUGAAGAUACUGUUUCACAUCAUGAGAGUUCAAAUGUACAAACAUCCUUUGUUAAUAAAAUGUACAAUUAUUGUUGUUGACCACAUUAAUGUGGUAGUUAA